AGACCACACUCGGCCAUGAAAGUCUUUGAAGGUGGGGAAGGGGUGAAGAUGGUGAGGGGAUUCCACGGCUGGGAGAGGUACACUCCCUACACGUUCUAACCAACUGGCCGUGGGGAGGAAGCUGGAGGUCAGGACACAGCAAAUGGGGGAUCUCAGAAGUCUUAAUGAAGUAACUAUCCCUGAACACUGGGAUCAAUACUCAGCAUCCAGCUGUCAAAUCAACACCAAGGCCUUCAGUUGCAAAGUUCUCCAUUGUCAGAUUACGCUGCCUGAUGGGCAUGAAAAGUCCACAAAAGAGAAUUUUCUGAUGUGAGAAUGGAGGGUGUUGCCUGCAACUACCCCAGAUCCCUGCGGUGGCAGUUUAAGCCGCCUCCUGGAGCAGAUUGUUAAGCUGAUGCGAGUCUGGGCUCUGCCUCACCACUUGUCUCAGAGAAUGUCCAGUGCUAGGAGACUCAUAAGUUGGAGAGAAACGGCCUGAUUUAUAGAAACUGAGCGAGACUCCGGACCACCUGAUGCAGAGAAACCUGUGACCUGAAAAAGUCUAUUUGUGUUUCCUCUAGGAAUCUCGGCCAAGAAGACAGGGACAAGCUCCCAACUCUGACUACCCCUUUUACAGGGAAAAAAAAAAAAUCCCGUGCCUUCUUUGCAGCAAGUGACAAAUCCUUGUCAUAUCGAGAUGGCUUUUCCUCCUCCUCUUCAAACAUCUUUUAGCAGCAACAGCAGCUCAAGUAACUGGAAUUAUUUCAGAGUUAAAAUGCAGGCUUUGUAGACCCUCUUAGACAGACAGAUUCAAUUUCAAAGGAAACUUCUUUGGCUGGGUACUCAGUGAGUGUUACACAGGGAUUUGGGGAGUUAAUAUUCACUGUUUCUGUUGUUGGAGAAAAGGAAAGCAGAGUUGCUCUUUCUCAUUACUCUCCCCAACGCACAUCUGUUUCCUCUCGUAUCUUGGAAUUAGGAAGAUGGAGGAGACUUAAGUGGUGACCCACCUAGCCUCCUGAUGCAUGCUGGGCUCACUUUAAAACUCCCAAAACAGAUGGCAGUUGAUCACGGUUUUAAAGAUCCCAGCAUAGACUUUCUGCAGCCUCCCUUGUUAGCCACUAUCAGCGCUUAACAUUCUGUCAUCUGAAUAACUCCUUAAAAAUGAUAGCAAUGGUAGUAGAAAUUUAAAAGGAACCUCCCAAAAAACAUGCAAAAGCUUACCACCCCAGUAAAUCACCCGCAACAAUGUCGCAACAGUUUAAAUUUACUGCAGAGAGAGCUGAAGUUUAGGAGACACAGCUUUAUAAUAUUUUUGAGAGAUAGUUGAGUGCAAAUGAGUCCUGUUCCUCUUGCAUCAGGGCCUGCUCCACUGAGUCAUCCUGCCUUCAGAAGCUUCCAGCUAAGUGGCAGGCCCCGGCCAUAGGCUCCCUGUGUCCCCAGCCUCCAGAGAACACACAAUGUUCUCAUCGCCCUUAGCUCCAUUCCAGAAGGGGCCUGCAGUUCUGCAGCUUAUCAGGGGUCUACUGGGAAGUGAGAUGUCACUGUCCCUUUCUGGCCCUGCAUUGUCUGUGAGUGGCUCUCCUGGAUUAAGAGUUGGCAAAGUAUGGCCAGUGGCCAGGACUGGCCUGCUGCCUGUUUUUGUUUAACCCGUGAGCUAAGAAUAGUUUUUACCUAUUUUAAGUAGUUGAAAAAAAAAUCAAGAGAAGAAUACUAUUUCGUGAUAUGUGAAAAAUCACAUGAAAUUCAAAUGUAAGUGUCCAUAAAUAAAGUCUUACUGGAAGA
rnacentral:lncRNA from 1 species